UACAGAGGUCGCAAGCGUUGUUCGGAUUUACUGGGCGUAAAGGGCACGUAGGCGGUUAAGCGUGUCGAGUGUGAAAUCUCCGGGCUCAACCCGGAAAGUGCGCUCGAAACUACUUGACUAGAGUACGGGAGAGGGAAUCGGAAUAUAGGGUGUAGCGGUGAAAUGCGUUGAUAUCCUAUAGAACACCGGAGGCGAAGGCGGAUUCCUGGAACGUAACUGACGCUAAGGUGCGAAAGUCGGGGGAGCAAACAGG
rnacentral:rRNA from 1 species